UGCGUAGGUGGCGAGGUAAGUCGGAUGUGAAAGCUCGGAGCUCAACUCCGAAAUGGCAUUGGAAACUACCUUGCUCGAGGGUUGGAGGGGGGACUGGAAUACUUGGUGUAGCAGUGAAAUGCGUAGAUAUCAAGUAGAACACCAGUGGCGAAGGCGAGUCCCUGGACAACUCCUGACACUGAGGCACGAAAGCUGGGAGCAACA
rnacentral:rRNA from 1 species